UAGGGAAUCUUCGGCAAUGGACGAAAGUCUGACCGAGCAACGCCGCGUGAGUGAAGAAGGUUUUCGGAUCGUAAAACUCUGUUGUUAGAGAAGAACAAGGACGUUAGUAACUGAACGUCCCCUGACGGUAUCUAACCAGAAAGCCACGGCUAACUACGUGCCAGCAGCCGCGGUAAUACGUAGGUGGCAAGCGUUGUCCGGAUUUAUUGGGCGUAAAGCGAGCGCAGGCGGUUUCUUAAGUCUGAUGUGAAAGCCCCCGGCUCAACCGGGGAGGGUCAUUGGAAACUGGGAGACUUGAGUGCAGAUGAGGAGAGUGGAAUUCCAUGUGUAGCGGUGAAAUGCGUAGAUAUAUGGAGGAACACCAGUGGCGAAGGCGGCUCUCUGGUCUGUAACUGACGCUGAGGCUCGAAAGCGUGGGGAGCAAACAGG
rnacentral:rRNA from 1 species